rnacentral:rRNA from 1 species
GGCGGCGUGCCUAAUACAUGCAAGUCGAGCGGACCGAACGGGAGCUUGCUUCUGUUCGGUUAGCGGCGGACGGGUGAGUAACACGUGGGUAACCUGCCCGUAAGACCGGGAUAACUCCGGGAAACCGGGGCUAAUACCGGAUAACACCAAAGACCGCAUGGUCUUUGGUUGAAAGGUGGCUUUUGCUACCACUUACGGAUGGGCCCGCGGCGCAUUAGCUAGUUGGUGAGGUAACGGCUCACCAAGGCGACGAUGCGUAGCCGGCCUGAGAGGGUGACCGGCCACACUGGGACUGAGACACGGCCCAGACUCCUACGGGAGGCAGCAGUAGGGAAUCUUCCGCAAUGGACGAAAGUCUGACGGAGCGACGCCGCGUGAGCGAAGAAGGUCUUCGGAUCGUAAAGCUCUGUUGUUAGGGAAGAAGAAGUACCGUUCGAAUAGGGCGGUACGGUGACGGUACCUAACGAGAAAGCCCCGGCUAACUACGUGCCAGCAGCCGCGGUAAUACGUAGCCCGGGGCGAGCGUUGUCCGGAAUUAUUGGGCGUAAAGCGCGCGCAGGCGGUCCCUUAAGUCUGAUGUGAAAGCCCACGGCUCAACCGUGGAGGGUCAUUGGAAACUGGGGGACUUGAGUGCAGAAGAGGAGAGCGGAAUUCCACGUGUAGCGGUGAAAUGCGUAGAGAUGUGGAGGAACACCAGUGGCGAAGGCGGCUCUCUGGUCUGUAACUGACGCUGAGGCGCGAAAGCGUGGGGAGCAAACAGGAUUAGAUACCCUGGUAGUCCACGCCGUAAACGAUGAGUGCUAAGUGUUAGAGGGGUUUUCCCUUUUAUGGUGGAACUUAAGCCGUUAACCCCCCCCCCGGGGAAGAACGGCCCCAGGGUUAAACUUCAAAGAAUUUGACGGGGCCCCCCCCAACCGGGGAACCUGGGGUUUUAUUUCAAACCACCCCGAAAAACCUUACCAGGCCUGGACUCCCCCGGACACCCUGGAAAACGGGCGGUUCCCCCUUCGGGGGAACGGGUGGACGGGGGGGGCUGGGUUGCCGCCACUUCUGGCCGGGAAAGGUGGGGUUAAUUCCGCCACCAACCGCACCCUUCGCCCUUAUUGGCCACCAUUCAGUUGGCCCUUCUAGGGGAACGGCCGGCAAAAAUUCGAAGAAAGUUGGGAAGAACUUCAAUCCUCCUGCCCCCUAAUAACUGGGCUACACACGUGCUACAUGGGCGGUACAAAGGGCUGCGAACCCGCGAGGGGAACGAAUCCCAAAAAGCCGCUCUCAGUUCGGAAUGCAGGCUGCAACUCGCCUGCAUGAAGCCGGAAUCGCUAGUAAUCGCGGAUCAGCAUGCCGCGGUGAAUACGUUCCCGGGCCUUGUACCCACGCCCGUCACACCACGAGAGCUUGCACCACCGAAGUCGGUGAGGUACCCGUAAGGGAGCCAGCGGCCAAAGUGGGGCAAGUGAUGGGGGUGAGUCGUAACAGGGUAACCGUAAAGG